rnacentral:rRNA from 1 species
UAGUUCAGCACUAAGUCACUUUGUCUUUAUGGCAAAUGUGAGAUGCAGUGUAUGGAACAUCUUAAAUCUAGUAUGAGAAAUUAACGAUUUAAGUCCUUCUUAAAUGAGGCCAUUUACCCAUAGAGGGUGCCAGGCCCGUAUAACGUUAAUGAUUACUAGAAGAUGUUUCCAAAGAGUCGUGUUGCUUGAUAGUGCAGCACUAAGUGGGUGGUAAACUCCAUCUAAAACUAAAUAUAACCAUGAGACCGAUAGUAAACAAGUACCGUGAGGGAAAGUUGAAAAGAACUCUGAAUAGAGAGUUAAAUAGUACGUGAAACUGCUUAGAGGUUAAGCCCGAUGAACCUGAAUAUCCAUUAUGGAAAAUUCAUCAUUAUGAUUGUAAUAUUUAAAUAAUAUUAUAAUAAUAGUGUGCAUUUUUUCCAUAUAAGGACAUUGUAAUCUAUUAACAUCUAUUUAUCAAAAGAUCAUUUGCUUAUGUUUAUUCAAAUUAGUUUGCUUGCAAGUUAACAUAGAAUAAAUGCUUAUGAUUUGAUAAAGUGUUGAUAGAUUUUAUUGUGUAUAGUGCUUAAAUUCUUUGAAUUUUAUAGUGGCAUUGGAAUCAUUGAUUUCAGUGUUUAUUAUAUGCGCUUAUAUGAUUAACAAUGCG